CCUACGGGAGGCUGCAGUCGAGAAUCAUUCACAAUGGGGGAAACUCUGAUGGUGCGACGCCGCGUGGGGGAAUGAAGGUCUUCGGAUUGUAAACCCCUGUCAUGUGGGAGCAAAUUAAAAAGAUAGUACCACAAGAGGAAGAGACGGCUAACUCUGUGCCAGCCGCCGCGGUAAUACAGAGGUCUCAAGCGAUGUUCGGAAUCACUGGGCGUAAAGCGUGCGUAGGCUGUUUCGUAAGUCGUGUGUGAAAGGCGCGGGCUCAACCCGCGGACGGCACAUGAGACUGCGAGACUAGAGUAAAGGAGAGGGGACCGGAAUUCUCGGUGUAGCAGUGAAAUGCGUAGAUAUCGAGAGGAACACUCGUGGCGAAGGCGGGUUCCUGGACAGUAACUGACGCUGAGGCACGAAGGCGAGGGGAGCGAAAGGGAUUAGAUACCCGGGUAGUC
rnacentral:rRNA from 1 species